GAUGAACGCUAGCGGGAGGCUUAACACAUGCAAGCCGAGGGGUAUUCAGUUGCUUGCAACUGGAGAGACCGGCGCACGGGUGAGUAACACGUAUGCAACCUGCCUGUAAGCGGGGGAUAACCCGUUGAAAGACGGACUAAUACCGCAUAAUACUGGAGAUCUGCAUGGAUAUUCAGUUAAACAUUUAUGGCUUACAGAUGGGCAUGCGCAUGAUUAGAUAGUUGGAGAGGUAACGGCUCCCCAAGUCAACGAUCAUUAGGGGUUCUGAGAGGAAGGUCCCCCACACUGGUACUGAGACACGGACCAGACUCCUACGGGAGGCAGCAGUGAGGAAUAUUGGUCAAUGGACGCAAGUCUGAACCAGCCACGUCGCGUGAAGGAAGACGGCCCUACGGGUUGUAAACUUCUUUUAACGGGAAUAAAGUGCCCCACGCGUGGGUUUUGCAUGUACCGUAUGAAUAAGGAUCGGCUAACUCCGUGCCAGCAGCCGCGGU
rnacentral:rRNA from 1 species